GUUGAGGUGGCCUAGUGGUUAAGGCGAUAGACUGCUAAUCCAUUGUGCAUUGCAUUCGUGGGUUCAAAUCCCAUCCUCGGUC
rnacentral:tRNA from 1 species